rnacentral:rRNA from 1 species
GAGUUUGAUCCUGGCUCAGGAUGAACGCUGGUGGCGUGCCUAACACAUGCAAGUCGAGCGCGGUUGUGCUUAGUAUUGAGUGUUUUAUUGAUAUAAAACAUUGAAUUCUAUGCACAACUGGGCGGCGGACGGGUGAGUAACGCGUGGGUAACCUGCCCUAUACACAUGGAUAACAUACUGAAAAGUUUACUAAUACAUGAUAAAAUAGUUUUUCGGCAUCGAAGAAUUAUCAAAGUGUUAGCGGUAUAGGAUGGACCCGCGUCUGAUUAGCUAGUUGGUGAGAUAACUGCCCACCAAGGCGACGAUCAGUAGCCGACCUGAGAGGGUGAUCGGCCACAUUGGAACUGAGACACGGUCCAAACUCCUACGGGAGGCAGCAGUGGGGAAUAUUGCACAAUGGGCGCAAGCCUGAUGCAGCAACGCCGCGUGAACGAUGAAGGUCUUCGGAUCGUAAAGUUCUGUUGCAGGGGAAGAUAGUGACG